GAUGAAGAACGUAGCGAAACGCGAUAAGUAAUGUGAAUUGCAGAAUUUAGUGAAUCAUCGAAUCUUUGAACGCACAUUGCGCCCCUUGGUAUUCCGAGGGGCAUGCCUGUUCGAGCGUCAUUUCAACCCUCAAGCACAGCUUGGUCUUGGGCUUCGCCGCUAACCCGGCGGGUCUUAAAAUCAGUGGCGGUGCCGUCGGGCCCUGAGCGCAGUAAUCUCUCUCGCUAUAGGGUCCCGGCGGAUGCUGGCCAGUAACCCCCAAUUUUCUAUGGUUGACCUCGGAUCAGGUAGGGAUACCCGCUGAACUUAAGCAUAUCAAUAAGCGGAGGA
rnacentral:misc_RNA from 1 species